GAUGAACGCUGGCGGCGUGCCUAAUACAUGCAAGUCGAGCGGAAGGACGAUAAGAUUGCUUUUUUACUGUUAGCGGCUGGCGGGUGAGUAACACGUGGAUCACCUUCUUCUAUUACUGGGAUAACUACGGAAAACCGGAUAUAAUAACACCUCAUAUUUUGUACCGCUUGGUUCAAAAGAUCAUCACGGCUUUCCUGUCUCUUAUAGCUGGUUCCGCGCUGGAUUAGCUAGUUGGUAAGGUAACGGCUUACCAAGGCUACGAUGCGUAGCCGAGCUGAGAGGGUGAUCGGCCACACUGGAACUGAGACACGGUCCAGACUCCUACGGGAGGCAGCAGUAGGGAAUCUUCGGCAAUGGGCGAAAGCCUGACGGAGCAACGCCGCGUGAGUGAAGAAGGUCUUCGGAUCGUAAAGCUCUGUUAUUGGGGAAGAACAGAUGUGGAAGUAACCGUGGACAUCUUGACGGUACCUAAUCAGAAAGCAACGGCUAACUACGUG
rnacentral:rRNA from 1 species